UAUCACACCAAAAUAUCUGUGCCCAUAUGCAUUGUCGAUACUUGGAAGUCAAUAUAAUCAUUUACUCUGUUUUACAAUAUUUAAAAUCUUUAUUUAUAAAUCUGUGCCCAUAUGCAUUGUCGGAGAAACUAAAAAACUUACUCAUUCUCAGAUUGCAUUGUGGAAUAUGCAUCCAUUAUUCAAAGAAAGGGCGACAUUCCAAGCACUCUCACUCUCUCCUUGCUAGCUAAAUUGGCUGACAAGCUAAAGAAGUCAGUGGAGGAAGAAAUUAAUUUUCUUAAGGGAAGGGUUUCAAAACUUGAAAGUGAUCUUGCGUUGAAGUCCACAGAAAUUACAUCUGCAGUUUCAAGGAAAGAAGAAGCUCUAUCUUUUGCAUUUGCUGAAAUUGACCGUAUGAAGGAAGAAAAUUCUGUAAAAACGUGAGCAUUAUUGAAUGCAUAUGGAGAGUGUUUACUGUGUUGGAGUGUAUUUGUUUCUUGCACAUGAGGGCACGCUUUAGUUGUAAUUCUUAUGAUAGGUUGAGCAAAGUGAAAUAUUGUUUAUUUAGAAAUGUGAAUGUAGGAUGCAUUGUAUGAUUUGAUUGCUAUUUGUAAUAAAUGCAUCAUUUUUUUUUUCUAAUUGCAUUUUAUGUACUAUUUCUAUCA